GCCAGCUAAGGUCCCAAAGUCAUGGUUAAGUGGGAAACGAUGUGGGAAGGCCCAGACAGCCAGGAUGUUGGCUUAGAAGCAGCCAUCAUUUAAAGAAAGCGUAAUAGCUCACUGGUCGAGUCGGCCUGCGCGGAAGAUGUAACGGGGCUAAACCAUGCACCGAAGCUGCGGCAGCGACGCUUAUGCGUUGUUGGGUAGGGGAGCGUUCUGUAAGCCUGUGAAGGUGUGCUGUGAGGCAUGCUGGAGGUAUCAGAAGUGCGAAUGCUGACAUAAGUAACGAUAAAGCGGGUGAAAAGCCCGCUCGCCGGAAGACCAAGGGUUCCUGUCCAACGUUAAUCGGGGCAGGGUGAGUCGACCCCUAAGGCGAGGCCGAAAGGCGUAGUCGAUGGGAAACAGGUUAAUAUUCCUGUACUUGGUGUUACUGCGAAGGGGGGACGGAGAAGGCUAUGUUGGCCGGGCGACGGUUGUCCCGGUUUAAGCGUGUAGGCUGGUUUUCCAGGCAAAUCCGGAAAAUCAAGGCUGAGGCGUGAUGACGAGGCACUACGGUGCUGAAGCAACAAAUGCCCUGCUUCCAGGAAAAGCCUCUAAGCAUCAGGUAACAUCAAAUCGUACCCCAAACCGACACAGGUGGUCAGGUAGAGAAUACCAAGGCGCUUGAGAGAACUCGGGUGAAGGAACUAGGCAAAAUGGUGCCGUAACUUCGGGAGAAGGCACGCUGAUAUGUAGGUGAAGCGACUUGCUCGUGGAGCUGAAAUCAGUCGAAGAUACCAGCUGGCUGCAACUGUUUAUUAAAAACACAGCACUGUGCAAACACGAAAGUGGACGUAUACGGUGUGACGCCUGCCCGGUGCCGGAAGGUUAAUUGAUGGGGUCAGCGCAAGCGAAGCUCUUGAUCGAAGCCCCGGUAAACGGCGGCCGUAACUAUAACGGUCCUAAGGUAGCGAAAUUCCUUGUCGGGUAAGUUCCGACCUGCACGAAUGGCGUAAUGAUGGCCAGGCUGUCUCCACCCGAGACUCAGUGAAAUUGAACUCGCUGUGAAGAUGCAGUGUACCCGCGGCAAGACGGAAAGACCCCGUGAACCUUUACUAUAGCUUGACACUGAACAUUGAGCCUUGAUGUGUAGGAUAGGUGGGAGGCUUAGAAGUGUGGACGCCAGUCUGCAUGGAGCCGACCUUGAAAUACCACCCUUUAAUGUUUGAUGUUCUAACGUUGACCCGUAAUCCGGGUUGCGGACAGUGUCUGGUGGGUAGUUUGACUGGGGCGGUCUCCUCCUAAAGAGUAACGGAGGAGCACGAAGGUUGGCUAAUCCUGGUCGGACAUCAGGAGGUUAGUGCAAUGGCAUAAGCCAGCUUGACUGCGAGCGUGACGGCGCGAGCAGGUGCGAAAGCAGGUCAUAGUGAUCCGGUGGUUCUGAAUGGAAGGGCCAUCGCUCAACGGAUAAAAGGUACUCCGGGGAUAACAGGCUGAUACCGCCCAAGAGUUCAUAUCGACGGCGGUGUUUGGCACCUCGAUGUCGGCUCAUCACAUCCUGGGGCUGAAGUAGGUCCCAAGGGUAUGGCUGUUCGCCAUUUAAAGUGGUACGCGAGCUGGGUUUAGAACGUCGUGAGACAGUUCGGUCCCUAUCUGCCGUGGGCGCUGGAGAACUGAGGGGGGCUGCUCCUAGUACGAGAGGACCGGAGUGGACGCAUCACUGGUGUUCGGGUUGUCAUGCCAAUGGCACUGCCCGGUAGCUAAAUGCGGAAGAGAUAAGUGCUGAAAGCAUCUAAGCACGAAACUUGCCCCGAGAUGAGUUCUCCCUGACCCUUUAAGGGUCCUGAAGGAACGUUGAAGACGACGACGUUGAUAGGCCGGGUGUGUAAGCGCAGCGAUGCGUUGAGCUAACCGGUACUAAUGAACCGUGAG
rnacentral:rRNA from 1 species